CCCUGGUUAAAUCAGUUGGUAGAGCGCUCCACUGGAGAUGGGGAGGUCCCGGGUUCGAUACCCGGACCAGGCG
rnacentral:tRNA from 2 species